rnacentral:lncRNA from 7 species
GGGCAGAAUCAGAAGCUUUUCUUAACUACCGCCUCCUUUGGGAGAAGGACCGGUGUGGAAAAGGACGCCGGGCGGUCUGGUAGGCUGGGCUAGGAAAGCAUAGAAAGGAAGAGCAUACUGGCCUUCUUCCUAAGCAAAAUAAAGGGCAAAGAAGGGUGGAUCACUCGGUCGUCUUUCCGACAACGGUGGAAGAGAACCCUCUAUGGGUGUAGCUAGGAAGGUCCAUGGACAGCAAAACGCUACCUACUGCGAUUGAGCAACGCGCGCUGAUGAACAUCGAGGUAUACAAUAUGCUUUGCCUGAUGUGAACAGUCAGUGUAUCGCUUCUCCCAUGGGUCAUGACGCUAAGAACCGUAUCGAAACAAUCCUAGUAAGAAACUUAAUGCCACUCAUGGAUUUUAUCCUGGAUAUCCAAAGUUGAUCAGCAACAAGCACAUGCAUCGUAUUUGUCCUCUGUGACAGAGUGUAUGAAUUAUUGAU